CAGCCGCCGCGGUAAUACGGAGGGUGCAAGCGUUAAUCGGAAUUACUGGGCGUAAAGCGCACGCAGGCGGUCUGUCAAGUCGGAUGUGAAAUCCCCGGGCUCAACCUGGGAACUGCAUUCGAAACUGGCAGGCUAGAGUCUUGUAGAGGGGGGUAGAAUUCCAGGUGUAGCGGUGAAAUGCGUAGAGAUCUGGAGGAAUACCGGUGGCGAAGGCGGCCCCCUGGACAAAGACUGACGCUCAGGUGCGAAAGCGUGGGGAGCAAACAGGAUUAGAUACCCCCGGUAGUCCCUGUCUCUUAUA
rnacentral:rRNA from 1 species